CCCAUCGACCACCCAAGGGCUGAGGAGUGCGGGCUCACGGUUACAGGAUUCCCAUUUCAGAACUACGACCAUUUGAAAAAUAGAAGAUUUAAAGAUUGACGCAAAGUGCAUGUACCAUGAUACACCAGGUCUCAUCUCCUGAAUAUUUGUCCUGCCCUGAGUUUUCACCUGAGGCCACCUGUACAACUGACUAGAGUAGUUCCACUGAUUGCUAAAAUGGAACAGGCAGGAUUGGUAUUGACUGUCCAAGAGCAAAGUCAGAUACAGAAUUCCCACCUUUGAGUUGUUCCUGUGUUGCAAUAUUAUCAUAAGGCUCAAGCUACCAGAGACACCCACUGUCACACUGGAGCCUGCUUCUGACCAAAACAUCCUCUGUCAAGCUAUAGACUGCUUCUGACCUCAGGUUUGCCAUUCUGAGCACAUAACAAAAAUAAAACAAGAAAAAGCAUAAGGUAUGAAAUGUUAUUCAAAAAAAGAAUGAUGAAACAAUGAACUAAAGCCUGGGCAGUAAAUAAUUCUGUCUUCAAGAUCCCACAUGGAAAAUUUUUUAGAAAGACUUCCUACCUUUCCUACUGUUUGUAAUGUGCAUCUGGAAUACUAGAGAAAGGGUCCCUAAGGUUUGCUGGAAAAAUACCUUAGCUUCUGAGUCUUAGCUUUAUUACUAAUAAACACUGGAUUUCUGGUAGUAGAGAAGGAAAUUUAGUAUUUCAUGAUGGUGAAAGAUGAAAAGAGAGGCUUUAUGGCUGUAUGAUUUGGGUAGAGCUUUUCAGUUAAUUAACGAAGAAAUAUCUGAAUUGAGUCAAUGAGGUACAGAGUUUAUUUCAUACAGAUACUUUUAAACUUCAUAAUGCCAUGACAUACCUGAUUUGUUACUAAUGUCCACAACUUAUCCACGUGUUUAUGGCAAAAAAAAAGUGCACGAAGAAGAAAAUUAUAGUUUCAAAAAUUUCUAGAAUUUGGUUUCUGGAAGAAAAUACAAGUGUCUGUGUGUUUGUGUACAUAUAUUCUAGAUAGAUGAGCCAGUAAGAUAGAGUGAGCAUUAUUUUUUCUUAUCCAAAGAAAAAUAAAAGCAAUGCACAGGUAGAAGACCUGGUAAAUUUUGUAUCAUCAUAACCACCUAAAAGUUUCGUGUGGGAAGGUAAGUCAUAACUCCAAAUAUUUUUUUCUACUUAAAAAUUAAAAUUUGUACAAGAAUAUUUGAUCCAGAAGAAAGAAAUAUAUACAUAAGGAAUUACUAGAAUUUGAAUGCAGAGCAUUUCAAACUAUCUUUAAUCCAAUGAUAUAGUUCUUAUAAAUUAAAAGUCAACAUGGCAAAUUACAAAUGUAAUAUUUAAGUGUGUCCUCAAGAAACUUAAAUAUAAAUAUUGCAAUAAUUUCUGUUAAAUUUAGUUUUAAUUCUCUUUAGUAAUGUAAAAUUCAUACCUUUAUUUUCAAAUAUAACCAUUGAGAUAAGAUCCAUUUGUCCUGGUGGAAAGUAGAAACAAAAGUGCUUUGCCUGGCAGCAAAAGAUACAAAACUUUAUCUGCCAAAACAUUCUGAGCUAAUGCAGAACAAAGGUUUGCUGCUGGGGAGUAGGGGUUGCUGAGAAAGCCUAGUUUUAAAUCCCAGGUGCAGAGUUUUAGUGGUCCAAACAGUAGAAUUGGAUCCCCACCACCACCACUCAGCAGCCUAACCCAGAGAAAGAAGCAAGAGAAGCUUGCUGCUGGGGAAGGAUCAAGAGUAAAGAUAAGAUCCCUACUUUUGCACCAAGUGUCCAGGGACUGAACAAAAUUAGGGACAAAGCAGGAACUCAGAAGAAAGAUCUAAGCAUCACUCUAAGCCCAAGGCAAGAGCAGCCCAUCUUUAAUUAAAACCACACUGGGGGCUGGGCGCAGUGGCUCAUGCCUGUAAUCCCAGCACUUUGGGAGGCCGA
rnacentral:lncRNA from 1 species